rnacentral:lncRNA from 1 species
CUCUAGGGUCCCCACCAUGGUCUGAUACAGCUGAGGUUGGUCCUCGCCUGACCCAGGUUGGUCCUGAGCAAAGACCCAGCCCUGGCACGUUGGAAGUCACUCUGGACUGGAUGGGACAGUGGGCAGAGGCUUUUGAUGAGGACUUGUUCCACCACAAACGUACCUUGUAUGCUUGACUGGAUCCUUUACCUCACAUUAACUCAGUGAGGUAGUUGGACUAGCUAAGAAUUCUCAUCUGUAGCAGCAUCUUCGUGCCCCAUGCCUGGGUCUCACCCCUAGGGAUCCUAUUUCAGUUUGUCUGAGGUAGGGCCCAAGCCUAAGCAUUUUUCAAAGGUUC